ACGGAGGGUGCAAGCGUUAAUCGGAAUUACUGGGCGUAAAGCGCUCGUAGGCGGCUAUUUAAGUCGGAUGUGAAAGCCCCGGGCUCAACCUGGGAACUGCAUUCGAUACUGGAUAGCUAGAGUAUAGAAGAGGCAAGUGGAAUUCCGGGUGUAGCGGUGAAAUGCGUAGAUAUCCGGAGGAACAUCAGUGGCGAAGGCGACUUGCUGGUCUAAUACUGACGCUGAGGAGCGAAAGCGUGGGGAGCAAACGGG
rnacentral:rRNA from 1 species